rnacentral:rRNA from 1 species
AAUAGAUACCCGGGUAGUCCACGCCGUAAACGAUGGAUACUAGCUGUUUGGAUUGCGGUCUGAGUGGUUAAGCGAAAGUGAUAAGUAUCCCACCUGGGGAGUACGUUCGCAAGAAUGAAACUCAAAGGAAUUGACGGGGGCCCGCACAAGCGGUGGAGCAUGUGGUUUAAUUCGAUGAUACGCGAGGAACCUUACCAGGGCUUAAAUGUAGAUUGACGUUAUUGGAAACAGUAAUUUCUUCGGACAAUUUACAAGGUGCUGCGUGGUUGUCGUCAGCUCGUGCCGUGAGGUGUCAGGUUAAGUCCUAUAACGAGCGCAACCCCUGUUGUUAGUUGUCAGCACGUAAUGGUGGGAACUCUAGCAAGACUGCCGGUGUAAACCGCGAGGAAGGUGGGGAUGACGUCAAAUCAUCACGGCCCUUACGUCCUGGGCCACACACGUGCUACAAUGGGCGGUACAGAGAGCAGCCACUAUGCAAAUAGGCGCGAAUCUACAAAACCGUUCUCAGUUCGGAUCGGAGUCUGCAACUCGACU